UGUUUGUGUGCUUUAUUCCGGCUAACCGCUCAGCUUCGUCUCCUGGCAGGCUACAUCCAUCCAUGGAGGUCCUGACUGGACUGGAUCCGUCCUGAGGUGUCCGAGCUGCUGCCUGACCAGGCCCACUUCACAGACAUACAGGAGCCUGCAUCACAGUGUGCUGAAGCCUUUCCCUAUAUCUCUGACAGUGUAGCGUAGGGCUGACCCGAAUGCUUUGAAGCUUCGACCUUUGCAAUGCCCAGUUUGAUGUCCCCUGCAAACACGGUGAUCAGCAGUAUGAUGCAGAAGCCGGUGAGCAGCCCUGCGUUUUGAAUCAGGAAGAAGAUGAUCUUGGUGGAAGUCCGCUUCUGUUCCCGUAAUAUGUUUUCCAUCUC